rnacentral:rRNA from 1 species
AGCGAACGCUGGCGGCGUGCUUAACACAUGCAAGUCGAGUGCGUAGCCCUUUGUAGCAAUACAGAGGGUGGGCGCACGGCGCACGGGUGAGUAACACGUGGGUAACCUGCCCUUCGUGGGGAAGUAACCCGCGAAAGACGGGGCGUAAUUCCGCAUAACAUUCCGGGGACACAUGUUCUCGGACUCAAAGGAGUGAUUCGCCGGAGGAGGGGCCC